rnacentral:misc_RNA from 1 species
GUAGGUGAACCUGCGGAAGGAUCAUUAACGAAUAACUAUGGUGUCUUGGUUGUAGCUGGCUCCUCGGAGCAUUGUGCACGCCCGCCAUUUUUAUCUUUCCACCUGUGCACCGACUGUAGGUGUCUGGAUAACCCUCGUCUUCCUCUCUUGAAGAAGGCGGAUGCGAGGAUUGCCCGUGAGGGCUCUCCUCGAAUUUCCAGGCUCCUACGUCUUUUACACACCCCAACAGUAUGAUAUAGAAUGAUAGUCA